UGGGGGAUAUUGCACAAUGGGGGGAACCCUGAUGCAGCGACGCCGCGUGAGCGAAGAAGUAUUUCGGUAUGUAAAGCUCUAUCAGCAGGGAAGAAAAUGACGGUACCUGAGUAAGAAGCCCCGGCUAAAUACGUGCCAGCAGCCGCGGUAAUACGUAUGGGGCAAGCGUUAUCCGGAUUUACUGGGUGUAAUGGGAGCGUAGGCGGCCUGGCAAGUCUGAUGUGAAAUACCGGGGCCCAACCCCGGGGCUGCAUUGGAAACUGUCAGGCUGGAGUGUCGGAGAGGCAGGCGGAAUUCCUAGUGUAGCGGUGAAAUGCGUAGAUAUUAGGAGAAACACCAGUGGCGAAGGCGGCCUGCUGGACGAUGACUGACGCUGAGGCUCGAAAGCGUGGGGAGCAAA
rnacentral:rRNA from 1 species